GAUGAACGCUGGCGGCGUGCCUAAUACAUGCAAGUCGAGCGAACGGACGAGGCUCUUGCUUCUCUGUUGUUUGCGGCGGACGGGUGAGUCACACGUGUAUAACCUCCCUAUCAUACUGGUAUAUCUUCGGGAAUCCGGCUCUUAUACCGGAUAAUCUUUUGCUCCGCAUGGUUCAAUGGUGAAAGACGGUCUUUCUGUCACUUAUCGCUGGAUCCGCGCUUCAUUAGAUAGUUGGUAAGGUAACGGCUUACCAAGGCAACGAUGCAUAGCCGAACUGAGAGGGUGAUAGGCCACACGGGAACGGAGACAGGGACAAGACGACUACGAGACGGAGCAGUAGGGAAUCGUACGCAAUGGGCGAAAGCAUGGCGGAGCAACGCCGAGUGAGAGAUGAAGGUCUUCGGAGCGUAAAACUGUGUUAUUAGGGAUGAACAGAUGUGGAAGGAACUGUGCACAGAGUGACGGUACCGAAUCAGAAAGCCACGGCUAACUACGUG
rnacentral:rRNA from 1 species